GGACGAGAAGCUUGCUUCUCUGAUGUUAGCGGCGGACGGGUGAGUAACACGUGGAUAACCUACCUAUAAGACUGGGAUAACUUCGGGAAACCGGAGCUAAUACCGGAUAAUAUUUUGAACUGCAUGGUUCAAAAGUGAAAGACGGUCUUGCUGUCACUUAUAGAUGGAUCCGCGCUGCAUUAGCUAGUUGGUAAGGUAACGGCUUACCAAGGCAACGAUGCAUAGCCGACCUGAGAGGGUGAUCGGCCACACUGGAACUGAGACACGGUCCAGACUCCUACGGGAGGCAGCAGUAGGGAAUCUUCCGCAAUGGGCGAAAGCCUGACGGAGCAACGCCGCGUGAGUGAUGAAGGUCUUCGGAUCGUAAAACUCUGUUAUUAGGGAAGAACAUAUGUGUAAGUAACUGUGCACAUCUUGACGGUACCUAAUCAGAAAGCCACGGCUAACUACGUGCCAGCAGCCGCGGUAAUACGUAGGUGGCAAGCGUUAUCCGGAAUUAUUGGGCGUAAAGCGCGCGUAGGCGGUUUUUUAAGUCUGAUGUGAAAGCCCACGGCUCAACCGUGGAGGGUCAUUGGAAACUGGAAAACUUGAGUGCAGAAGAGGAAAGUGGAAUUCCAUGUGUAGCGGUGAAAUGCGCAGAGAUAUGGAGGAACACCAGUGGCGAAGGCGACUUUCUGGUCUGUAACUGACGCUGAUGUGCGAAAGCGUGGGGAUCAAACAGGAUUAGAUACCCUGGUAGUCCACGCCGUAAACGAUGAGUGCUAAGUGUUAGGGGGUUUCCGCCCCUUAGUGCUGCAGCUAACGCAUUAAGCACUCCGCCUGGGGAGUACGACCGCAAGGUUGAAACUCAAAGGAAUUGACGGGGACCCGCACAAGCGGUGGA
rnacentral:rRNA from 1 species